GACGAACGCUGGCGGCGUGCUUAACACAUGCAAGUCGAACGGAAAGGCCCCUUCGGGGGUACUCGAGUGGCGAACGGGUGAGUAACACGUGGGUGAUCUGCCCCAAACUUUGGGAUAAGCCUGGGAAAACUGGGUCUAAUACCGGAUAUGACCAUGGGAUGCAUGUCUUGUGGUGGAAAGCUUUUGCGGUUUGGGAUGGGCCCGCGGCCUAUCAGUUUGUUGGUGGGGUAAUGGCCUACCAAGACUACGACGGGUACCGGGUGUGAGAGCAUGACCCGGCUCACUGGGACUGAGAUACUGCCCAGACUCCCUACGGGAGGCUGGCAGUCAAGAAUAUUCCUCAAUGGACGAAAGUCUGAAGGAGCGACGCCGCGUGUAUGAAGAAGCCUUUCGGGGUGUAAAGUACUUUUAUUAGGGAUGAAACAAUGACAGUACCUAAUGAAUAA
rnacentral:rRNA from 1 species